UACGUAGGCAGCGAGCGUUGUUCGGAAUUACUGGGCGUAAAGAGUGUGUAGGCGGUGCUCUAAGUUCGGUGUGAAAUCUCCCGCUUAACUGGGAGGGUGCGCCGUAGACUGUGGGGCUAGAGUGUGGGAGAGGAAAGUGGAAUUCCUGGUGUAGCGGUGAAAUGCGUAGAUAUCAGGAGGAACACCGGUGGUGUAAACGGCUUUCUGGACCAUAACUGACACUGGAGGCAACGAAAGCCGUGGGUAGCAAACAGG
rnacentral:rRNA from 1 species